rnacentral:rRNA from 1 species
CAAUAGCGUAUAUUAAAAUUGUUGCAGUUAAAAAGCUCGUAGUUGGAUUUCUGGUUCGGCGCGCUUGGUCCCUCUCGGUCUUCGGGAGUGUGUACUGGUGCGCGCCAUCCAUCCUUCGAGUAAACACUUCUGCUCUCACGGGUAGAGGUGCUACCUCGAUCUUUUACUUUGAAAAAAUUAGAGUGUUUAAAGCAGGCUUGCGCUAUGAAUACAUUAGCAUGGAAUAAUAAUUUAGGACUUUGGUUCUAUUUUGUUGGUUUCUAGGACUGAAGUAAUGAUUGAUAGGGACAGUUGGGGGUGCUAGUAUUCAGCGGCCAGAGGUGAAAUUCUUGGAUUCGCUGAAGACUAACUUAUGCGAAAGCAUUCACCAAGGAUGUCUUCGUUAA